rnacentral:rRNA from 1 species
AUUGAACGCUGGCGGCAUGCCUUACACAUGCAAGUCGAACGGCAGCGGACCUUCGGGUGCCGGCGAGUGGCGAACGGGUGAGUAAUAUAUCGGAACGUACCUUUCAGUGGGGGAUAACGUAGCGAAAGUUACGCUAAUACCGCAUAUUCUGUGAGCAGGAAAGCAGGGGAUCGCAAGACCUUGCGCUGAUUGAGCGGCCGAUAUCAGAUUAGCUAGUUGGUGAGGUAAAGGCUCACCAAGGCGACGAUCUGUAGCGGGUCUGAGAGGAUGAUCCGCCACACUGGAACUGAGACACGGUCCAGACUCCUACGGGAGGCAGCAGUGGGGAAUUUUGGACAAUGGGCGCAAGCCUGAUCCAGCCAUGCCGCGUGAGUGAAGAAGGCCUGGUUGUAAGCACUGU